CCCUAAAAUGGCUCCUCCUUGGGUAUGUACCCCUUCCUGCCCUCAUCGUGGCUCUUCCAUGUGUCUCCUCAGGUGCUCUCCGCAGCCACCAUUGUGGCUAAACACACCUCUGCACUGUGUAACAGCUGUCGCCUGGCCUCUGCCCGUACCACCAAUCCUACCGCCAAGCGCCAGUUUGUACAGUCAGCCAAGGAGGUGGCCAACAGCACAGCGAAUCUUGUCAAGACCAUCAAGGCGCUAGAUGGGGCCUUCACAGAGGAGAACCGUGCCCAGUGCCGAGCAGCAACAGCCCCUCUGCUGGAGGCUGUGGACAAUCUGAGUGCCUUUGCGUCCAACCCUGAGUUCUCCAGCAUUCCUGCCCAGAUCA
rnacentral:sRNA from 1 species